CACAUAUACACAACGCUGGUCCUGAACGGGUUAAGCCAUGCAUGUCUAUGUAAAUGCCGUUUUCAGCCGAAACCACGAAUGGCUCAUUAAAUCAGUUAUGGUUCUACUUGGAUAACUAUGGAAAUUCUAGAGCUAAUACAUGCAGCAGAGCUCCGACCCUCUGGAAACAAGCACUUUUAUUAGACCAAAACCAAUCAGACCUCGUGCCCGUAUAUUAUGUGGUGACUCUAUAACUUUGGGAUGAUCACACGGGCUCGUCUCAGUGACAUAUCUUUCAGGUGUCUGCCUUAUCAACUGUCGAUGGUAGGUUACGUGCCUGCUAUUGUUAUAAUGGGUGACGGGGAAUCAGGUUGGAUUCCGGGGAGGGAGCCUGAGAAACGGCUGCCAUGUCCAACAAAGGCAGCAGGUGCGCAAGUUACCCACUCCUAGAACGGGGAGGUAGUGACAAAAAAUAAUAAUACAGGACUCUUUUAAAAUCCCGUAACUGGAAUGAGUACACUCUAAAUUCUUUAAUGGGCAUCAAUUAGAGUACGAGUCUGGUGCCAGCAGCCAUGGUAAUUCUAGCUCCAAUAGCGUAUAUUAAAGUUGUUGCGGUUAAAAAACUUGUAAUUGGAUCUCGGUUCCAAACGGGUGGGCUGCCUACCAGUGGUUACUGCCUGUUCUGUACAGCCAGCCAGUUUCUUCUUAGGAAAAAUUAGAGUGCUCAAAGCAGGCGUGAUGCUUGAAUAAUGAUGCAUGGAGUAGGACUUUGGUUCUAUUUUGUUGGUUUUUGGAGAACGUGAUAAUAAUUAAGAGGGACAGACUGGGGCAUUCGUAUUGCGACAAUAGAGGUGAAAUUCUUGGACCAUCACAAGACGAACUACUGUGAAAGCAUUUGCCAAGAAUGUUUAUGGAGCAGUCGAUUGGUUAGUCGAAACUCUGGGAUAAAGG
rnacentral:ncRNA from 1 species